GGGUUGUGAGGUUAAGCGACUAAGCGUACACGGUGGAUGCCCUGGCAGUCAGAGGCGAUGAAGGACGUGCUAAUCUGCGAUAAGCGCCGGUAAGGUGAUAUGAACCGUUAUAACCGGCGAUUUCCGAAUGGGGAAACCCAGUGUGAUUCGUCACACUAUCAUUAACUGAAUCCAUAGGUUAAUGAGGCGAACCGGGGGAACUGAAACAUCUAAGUACCCCGAGGAAAAGAAAUCAACCGAGAUUCCCCCAGUAGCGGCGAGCGAACGGGGAGGAGCCCAGAGCCUGAAUCAGCAUGUGUGUUAGUGGAAGCGUCUGGAAAGGUGCGCGAUACAGGGUGACAGCCCCGUACACAAAAGCGCAUGUGCUGUGAGCUCGAUGAGUAGGGCGGGACACGUGGUAUCCUGUCUGAAUAUGGGGGGACCAUCCUCCAAGGCUAAAUACUCCUGACUGACCGAUAGUGAACCAGUACCGUGAGGGAAAGGCGAAAAGAACCCCGGCGAGGGGAGUGAAAAAGAACCUGAAACCGUGUACGUACAAGCAGUGGGAGCACAGGUUUACCUGUGUGACUGCGUACCUUUUGUAUAAUGGGUCAGCGACUUAUAUUCUGUAGCAAGGUUAACCGUAUAGGGGAGCCGUAGGGAAACCGAGUCUUAACCGGGCGUUAAGUUGCAGGGUAUAGACCCGAAACCCGGUGAUCUAGCCAUGGGCAGGUUGAAGGUUGGGUAACACUAACUGGAGGACCGAACCGACUAAUGUUGAAAAAUUAGCGGAUGACCUGUGGCUGGGGGUGAAAGGCCAAUCAAACCGGGAGAUAGCUGGUUCUCCCCGAAAGCUAUUUAGGUAGCGCCUCGUGAAUUCAUCUCCGGGGGUAGAGCACUGUUUCGGCUAGGGGGCCAUCCCGGCUUACCAACCCGAUGCAAACUGCGAAUACCGGAGAAUGUUAUCACGGGAGACACACGGCGGGUGCUAACGUCCGUCGUGAAGAGGGAAACAACCCAGACCGCCAGCUAAGGUCCCAAAGUCAUGGUUAAGUGGGAAACGAUGUGGGAAGGCCCAGACAGCCAGGAUGUUGGCUUAGAAGCAGCCAUCAUUUAAAGAAAGCGUAAUAGCUCACUGGUCGAGUCGGCCUGCGCGGAAGAUGUAACGGGGCUAAACCAUGCACCGAAGCUGCGGCAGCGAACGUAUCACCCAAGACAACUUUACGGAGUUGACGAUUGACGGAGCGAAGCGACGUCAAAGCGUUCAUUAAAGUCGAGUUGGCUUAGGGAUACGUUCGUUGGGUAGGGGAGCGUUCUGUAAGCCUGUGAAGGUGUGUCGUGAGGCAUGCUGGAGGUAUCAGAAGUGCGAAUGCUGACAUAAGUAACGAUAAAGCGGGUGAAAAGCCCGCUCGCCGGAAGACCAAGGGUUCCUGUCCAACGUUAAUCGGGGCAGGGUGAGUCGACCCCUAAGGCGAGGCCGAAAGGCGUAGUCGAUGGGAAACGGGUUAAUAUUCCCGUACUUGGUGUUACUGCGAAGGGGGGACGGAGAAGGCUAUGUUGGCCGGGCGACGGUUGUCCCGGUUUAAGCGUGUAGGUGUGUGUUCCAGGUAAAUCCGGUUCACUUUAACACUGAGGCGUGACGACGAGGCACUACGGUGCUGAAGCAACAAAUGCCCUGCUUCCAGGAAAAGCCUCU
rnacentral:rRNA from 1 species